rnacentral:lncRNA from 1 species
AACAUACCCACUUCUGGCAGAGGUGGCAGAGACAAAUCAAAGGGCCAGUGAGAUUUUGUGAGGUGACUGCUAUGGCCCCUUGACAAUGUAAAGGUUUGGGCAUAUAUGUGGAAGACUGCGUGCUCUGGCAAGCAGAUAUUAGAGCUGCAGAUUUCUUGUCCAUGGAGUGGCCGGGAAGAACCCACUCAAAUGGGUGGAAGAGAGAUAGGUAGAGAAGGUGAUUGAUAGCUCUGCUUCUGGUGGGAUAAAUGAAGACCAAUGACCACCAGCAAGUGGCUUUGUCCUUGCCAAAGCAAAAUUCCAUUCUUCAAAUUGCUCAUCAUAUUCUUCUAGGUAAAGACUUAGACAUCCAGGGAAACCCAUAAGAUCAGGCUGAAUCUAAGGAAAGUAAAGGUACUUGGAAAGAUAACACUGCAGGCCAGAGUCACUGCAAUCAGUGGCACAUAACAGGGAUCAGAGAUGUGGUUUCCUGAAAGAAGACUCAGAUGAACUGGAAUGUUAGUUUGCUGAGACAUUCCCAGGAAGGGUAGGCAUUGAAACAAGGGAAGAGCCAAGGUUGGAUCUCAAGGAGAAGGCAAAAUAAAAUGAUCUGAAGUGAUCGGUACCAAUGGCAUGUAACCAAUAACAAGACAGUUGGAAAGCUGUAAUUGCCCCAGACUGGUAGGAAGAAAGUGUACAGAGGCAGAGAAGCAGGUGUGUUAGUCUUUUGCACCUGACAAAAACAUUUGAGCAAAACAUCUUAAGAGAGAAAAUAUUAAUUUGCUUCACAGUUUCAGAAAAUCUUGGCAGGGAAGGUGUGGAAGUAUGCCACUCAUAUAAUGGUGUCCAAGAAUUGGUGGAUUUGCUGGCUUUCUUCUUUCAUUAUCCUGUCACCUAGCCUUUGGGGAGAUGUUCUCCAUAUUUAGAGUGGGUUUCUCCACCCUGUAGUUAAUUCUCUUUGGAAACACCCUCAUAUGCACACAUUGACCUCUUAGGGGCUUCACAAUUCAAUGAACUGGAUAUCAGCAUUAACAAUCAGGAUGAGGAUACUUCACCGAGCUGGUUUGCACACUGUCUUUGAUCCAGUGUCCCUCGUGUGUGCUUGGAGAGCUGGGGUCAGAUCCCCACUAGUGCUUGUCUGGGUUAGUGCUGGGCUGACCAAGGUGAUCUAAGAAGAGUCGGCUACAGGCUUUUGGAGUGUGAACGACCGGCUAUAUCUCAAAAGGGGGCAGGAGCAGAAGCCGAGAAAAACCUGUUCACAUACAUGAGAAGCAAGUGGAAAUGGAAAGCUCCUGGGAAAAUGCCUCUGGCUUGUUUUAUCCUAAAUGGCUGUGCCUUCAAGUCUCCCAGUCUAAAGGGCCAAAGGCUGGUCAACAACCGUCUGAUACCUGUGUUGUGGCCAGAGUGACUACGAGGAAGACUCAGUAGGAUGGGGGAACCACAGCUGAGAAGAGCAUAAGAUAUUGAUAUGGGAGGCUCAGUAGGUUAGUAUGACAGAAUUCAUCAAAGGUCAAGUUGAUCAUCUCAUGUAUGACAUAAAUACAAUAACCAAGGCAUACCAUAAUCCUGGUUGUCGAAAGUUAUUUGGACAUCUGGAGUUACCACAAACUUCCAAAGAAGUUCCGAAGAAGUCUUCAAUGGAAUCUUCUUCCAAAACCAGGAGUUAAACAGCUGUCUGAGAGCACACGAGAGAAUGGUCAGCUGGAAAGAAGACUCUCCACAUGAUAAGAAGGAAGCUGUGGCUAGGAAGGAACUUUGGAGUGGGGAGCUACUGCAAAUUUGUUAGCCGAGUGAGAUAAGGGAAACUGGGAGUCACAUCUAGGCAGAUCAUGGCAGGAGGGCUGCACCCUUGGGAAUCACCCAUCUUUAAGUUGCUCAAGGGAGUGGGGUGGGGGUCUGUAGGCUGCCUUUCCCAGCUCGCUUGGUACUGUUUAGGUUUUGUCAAAAGGAGAUUACUAGUAGAGGGUCUGAAAGGAAGAGGGAGGAACAGAGGAACAUCUCUCCCUCCCACUUUUCCAGUUUCUAAGUCAAUCCAGCAACAGCAGCCGCCAGCUUCCAGUCUCUCAGUCCCAGAGCUAACCUAACCUAUGGAAUGCCAAGUCCAAGGACUACAUCCUGUUUGCUAUAGGUAGACACCAUUCAAAGAUGUAUUUAUCUGGCUCUAAGGAAGACUUGGGUAGUGUAAGGUUGGAUAACACAGGAAUGAGCGUGUCUACAAAGUCACCUUCUUCAUGUAUUUCCAAAGAUGUGGGAUGACAGACUCCAAGAGGUAUUUCAGAGGGGGUAAAAAGCUAUUUUUUUCUUUCUUAAAGAAAGACAGGAAAAAAUAAAAGAAAGGCAGAAAUGCUAAAAC